GGAGCCCCAGCUGACGGAGAGGGAGCCCCAGCUGAUGAAGCGUCAAGGCCCCAGCUGACAAAGCAUCAAGGCGAGUUAAGCAGCAGAGCGAAAAGAGGAGCUGAUGGAAGGAACCCUGUAUCCCAUCUCUACCAUUGAAGCAGCAGCAUCUAGGGUAGGCGACUUUCUAGAUACAGACGCACCCCUUUCCGUGCUCCAUCCUGACAAGCAAGAGGCAUUAUCGGAGUCCAAGUGCACAUUCCAUCCAGGCCAAAACAUGCAAGAAGGGUGCCAAGCAGGUCCAGGAGAGGGUUUUGGAGGACCACAUUCAACCACUGGGCCUAAGCGUCCUUGCCCCUAGCUAAGAUCUUCAGAGGAAGUCUUUCUGGCUUCAUCACAAUCAAUGGCAUGCCACUUUAUGACAUCUAGGAAGCAGGUCUUCUUGGUGGUGGCACCCACCUUCUGGAACACACUUCCACGUGCAAUUCAGGAGGUGGAAACAGAAGCUAGUUUUUUUUUAUUUUAAAAAUGCACCUUUUAACACUGGCUGUCCCUGAAUUGUAACG